rnacentral:lncRNA from 1 species
UUAUUUGAGUUGAUUGACAGCUGAGAUGAGAAAUGUUAUACCAGAGAUAAUAAGGGUUACUUCAUAAUAUUAACUACAUGGGAAUGCCCAGAAUUUCCCAGUGUUAACUUGGGGAUGUGGUUCACAGACAGUUAUGGGUUCUAAUUUGUUUGCAUUAAUGUGUUCACCUUUCAUAGAGUACUUUUGCGAGUCCUAGAAACCUAGCUUUUGGUGAGUUAGUUCAUUUUAUUUCCCUCAAAAGUGUUAUAAAUUUUCUUUUAAAACAGUCAUUUACUGUAGAACGAGUGUCGGUUACUGAUCUGACAUGUAUAGACUGGAAGUUUUACCCACCAUCCUGUUCUUUGCCUUAGUACUCAUAUACAUAUUUUCUUUAUUUGCUAAUCAUAUUAAUAAUAUGUGCGGCCUAUUCAUUUUGUU